AGUGAACGCUGGCGGUAGGCCUAACACAUGCAAGUCGAAUGGCAGCACAGUAAGAGCUUGCUCUUACGGGUGGCGAGUGGCGGACGGGUGAGGAAUACAUCGGAAUCUACUUUUUCGUGGGGGAUAACGUAGGGAAACUUACGCUAAUACCGCAUACGACCUACGGGUGAAAGCAGGGGAUCUUCGGACCUUGCGCGAUUGAAUGAGCCGAUGUCGGAUUAGCUAGUUGGCGGGGUAAAGGCCCACCAAGGCGACGAUCCGUAGCUGGUCUGAGAGGAUGAUCAGCCACACUGGAACUGAGACACGGUCCAGACUCCUACGGGAGGCAGCAGUGGGGAAUAUUGGACAAAGGGCGCAAGCCUGAUCCAGCCAUACCGCGUGGGUGAAGAAGGCCUUCGGGUUGUAAAGCCCUUUUGUUGGGAAAGAAAAGCAGCAGGUUAAUACCCCGCUGUUCUGACGGUACCCAGAGAAUAAGCACCGGCUAACUUCGUG
rnacentral:rRNA from 1 species